UUCCCGGCGCCCGCAUCCUCGUCGUCGACCUUGCCCAAACGGCAGGUCGCUGCUGCUGGCCGAGGUCGCCCAGGUCAUCACCGCCCCCGCCGGCCUGCAGCUCAUCCUACCCAAGGGCAGGGUAUGUACAGUCGCUUGCUCCCUCUUCCUCCCCCUGUCGAUCUCCAGAGGUGUUGAUUUGUUGGGUUGUUCGAUUCAGUGCUUCGAGCGAGGAUGACUGUGAGUGGUUGGGCAUGGGAUAGCCUAGCGCCCGUAGAUACAUGAUAGAUUUGUGCUUCACUAAUUGUUACACAUGCAGCUAUCCAAUUACCCCAAGCGGAAUUAAAUUACUUGUAGAAUGAUAGCCGUAAUGUUAUAGUGCUGGUCCCAGUAUCCGGCUAUCCUUUGAUAAAAACAAUUUGUUGCAAAAUUGCAAAAAUAAGCAUGUGCCUUGUUUUCUCAGAUGAAUGCAAGGCGGCUUGCAUAGUUCUCAGACUGGCAUAUGUGGAAUGUGCUAUGUGCCCAACAUCUCUAUCUACUCCACCGUGAUCUAACUCACAUGUCAAAGAAUCACAUAAUACAUUUUGCAUGAAGGAGGUGCAAGAACCUACUUAUCUUGCAAUAGAAAGUACUGCAAGACAUGUUUAUCCAGAGAAUAUUGUGUUGGAUGCUUGCUUCAAAUUGGCUAAUCUAACUCUUCUGAUAGAUAACAUACAGGCCAAUCAGUAGUGUUAUGUAUUUCGACCAAUGUCAGCUAAUUUCCAGCUGUAAACAAGCAGGUAUAAUUUAAUAUUCAUUUUCAUGGACUUGAAUCUGAAUAUAUUUUGGUUUAGUACAGUAUCUAAACUAUUACUUUUGGGGUCUGCUAUGAGGCAUUGGGUUUAAAUACUUUCUUAAGAGUUGUGUGAAAUAGCAUUUAUUCCAAGAAAUUGCAAUGUAUAUAGUGCUACUUUAUUUUAUAUUUUUAUUUUAAAAAUUGUUCCUCGACACUUCAAACUCAGAAUUUUUACAAUUAACUCUUAAAUCGGAAAUUAGCUGCCAUGGCCUGAAUUAUCAUGGAUCGAGUGUGUUUUGUGUAAGAUUUUUCUAUUGACAAUCCUUUUAUAUGUACACCUUCUAGGAAGUAUGUGCAUUCCUUCUUGCAGACAGAUAUGUUUUCUCGGGUUGUUGAAUGCUGGAAACGAGGAUUAUCAGUCACAAAAUACAUAACAGACCUUCGGAUCCAUGGAUGUAGCCAGCAAGGGCGCCAUCAACCUGGGCUGCCUUAGAGCUUAGGCAACCAUGCUGUAUUUGAUGUGAACAGUUCAUAUCAAUAGCUCGAUUAACUUGUGUGUGUCUCAUGUGUGGUUGAAUACUAAUUCUAACCCUGUUGCACUCUGUGCUGCCAUUUGAUCUAAAAAACUGAACCAUGAAAGGUUCACUGUUAAAUCAGUAUGCGACAUGGUGACGGUUGCAAAAUACUGGAAUGUCACAAUCAUCGUGUCGUACAUGGAUAAAACUUCAUUUUGGGUUGCCCAGUGAGUUCCAAGAUAUAUUUGAUGUAGACUACUUCAUAGCAUCAUUGAGAGAUGAGGUCCGGAUACUGCAAGAGCUGCCUCCAAGGCUGAAAAGGAGAGUUGAAUAGGGAUAUCCUUGCUCCUUGCCGCCCUUCAGUUGGUCUGAUACAUCCUAUUACCAUAAUCAGGUUUCUUUGCGUCUCUCCAUUUCUCGUGAUGUAUCUAAAUCAUAUGCGUACCCAAAUAAAUAUUGUAAGUAGUAAUUUAUGGGAAAACAUAUUUUACCAAUGAUAAAGAAGUACAUGGUCCUUCAUAUGAAUAAAUCACGUGCACGGCUUGAAAAUAAUGGGCUACUCAUGGAGAUUCAGAAACCGAGGUGCCAUUUCAGUUUUCAUGCACUUGGAUUUACCCCCUAAAACAGAAGAGUUGGGCAGGUGUGUGGUUCAAAUUCUUCGUCGGAAUGGACCCUUUUGUGGUUCUCCACUUGUGGUAUAAGAUGGACAUACUUGCCUUCUCUGGGUGUACACAUGGUAGCAGGAAAGAUGAGGCUGAGGAGGGUUAGAAGGAUGAGAUAUUGCAGUUCUAGCAAGUGGAUCUGCACAAACAAGUAUGUGUUUGACUGUGCAGGUGAUAAGGGAGCUGAAGCUGCUGGACGGCGUCGGUCUUGCAGAGGUCAUCACAAUCCUUGUUCCAAAUAGGUCCGUCGGACUUCGCAUCCCUUGCCUUGCUGCACUCUCCUGGAAGAUUUUCAAUUGCAGGCCUGUCUCUUAUGGAUGGAUGGUCACAUGGGGAGUAAUCAGUUGACUAACUAUGAAGAUUGCUAGGAUUGACAAAAACGCAAAAAUGAUCCAGUCGGUGGAACUAUUAUAAAACUCCUGAAGGAGGUAACCCUUUACAAAAGGGUGCAAGUGUUACUGUCUCCUGCUAUAUUUGACAGUAAAAAAACCAGUCAACAAGUAGUCAAGUAUUCUUGAUUGAAAGUCUGCAAGUAAUCAAGUGGUCUUACGGAAGGCCAUUCUAGAAGAUCUUUGCUUGUUGUAGCUAUACAAUUUACCUCAAUUUUUUGCCAGUUGCUAGCACCGUAUUUUAAUCUUUGUGGCUUUGGCGAGGAUUUUUC